AUGCUUUUACAGUAUGGAAAUUGGUGAUUUAUAAUAACUUGGCAAAUCGCAAAGUGAAAACAGGCGAUAAAUCAUUCAAGUUUCUGACCUAUCAGCUUUCGACGGUAUGGUAUUGGCUUACCGUGGCAGUGACGGUUAACGGGGGAUUAGGGUUCGAUUCCGGAGAGGGAGCCUGAGAAACGGCUACCACAUCUAAGGAAGGCAGCAGGCGCGCAAAUUACCCAAUUCUAACAGUUUGAGAGAGGUAGUAACAAGAAAUAACAAUACAAGGCARUUAAAAUGCUUUGUAAUUGGAAUGAUAGAAAUUUAAACCCUUUUUAAAGUAUCAAUUGGAGGGCAAGUCUGGUGCCAGCAGCCGCGGUAAUUCCAGCUCCAAUAGCGUAUAUUAAAAUUGUUGCAGUUAAAAAGCUCGUAGUUGAAGUUCUGCUGAAAGUAACCGGUCUGCUUUUAAUAAAAGUGGUAUCUUGGURUGUAUUUAGCAAUGAUGUCCUUUGAAGUGUUUUUUACUUUAUUGUAAUAAAGCAUAUUCAGGACUUUUACUUUGAGAAAAUUAGAGUGUUUCUAGCAGGCUAACGCUUUGAAUA
rnacentral:rRNA from 1 species